ACCCGCGUACAUGCCACCGGGGCAUCCCGGAGGCAGGAAAGGCUUCGGCCGGACAGGGAUGGGCAUGCGGCGCAUUAGGCAGUAGGCGGGGUAACGGCCCACCUAACCGACGAUGCGUAGGGGUUCUGAGAGGAAGGUCCCCCACACUGGUACUGAGACACGGACCAGACUCCUACGGGAGGCAGCAGUGAGGAAUAUUGGUCAAUGGUCGGGAGACUGAACCAGCCAAGCCGCGUGAGGGAUGAAGGUACAGAGUAUCGUAAACCUCUUUUGUCAGGGAACAAAGGCGGGGACGUGUCCCCGGAUGAGUGUACCUGAAGAAAAAGCAUCGGCUAACUCCGUGCCAGCAGCCGCGGUAAUACGGAGGAUGCGAGCGUUAUCCGGAUUUAUUGGGUUUAAAGGGUGCGCAGGCGGUCUGUUAAGUCAGCGGUCAAAGCCCGGGGCUCAACCCCGGCCCGCCGUUGAAACUGGCAGUCUCGAGUUGGAGAGAAGUAUGCGGAAUGCGCGGUGUAGCGGUGAAAUGCAUAGAUAUCGCACAGAACUCCGAUUGCGAAGGCAGCAUGCCGGCUCCACACUGACGCUGAGGCACAAAAGCGUGGGUAUCGAACAGGAUUAGAUACCCUGGUAGUCCACGCAGUAAACGAU
rnacentral:rRNA from 1 species